GCGAUGUGGCGCGUGGCGCGUGGCUGGGGAGGCGAACAACCUGGGCGCGUGGAGGACGGUGCCGGAGGAGUGCGCGGAUUACGUGAAGGAGUACAUGACAGGGAAAGGGUACUUGGUGGAUCUGGAAAUGGUGUCCAAGGAGGCAGAAGAGUUUGCCAAGAGUGUGAAACUCAGUGACGAUGGCAAAGACGCGUGGAUUUUCGACAUUGAUGAGACGUUGCUCUCCA
rnacentral:lncRNA from 1 species